AACCAUAGUUAGCAUUUGAAACUGUACANNNUGANUGCAGGAGAGGUAAGUGAAAUUCNNNGUGUAGCGGUGAAAUGCGUAGAUAUUAGGAGGAACACCAGUGGCGAAGGCGACUUACUGGACUGUAACUGACGCUGAGUCACGAAAGCGUGGGUAGCAAACAGGAUUAGAUACCCUGGUAGUCCACGCUGUAAACGAUGAGUGCUAGGUGUUGGCCAGCGAUGGUCAGUGCCGAAGUUAACACAAUAAGCACUCCGCCUGGGGAGUACGGUCGCAAGACUGAAACUCAAAGGAAUUGACGGGGACCCGCACAAGCAGCGGAGCAUGUGGUUUAAUUCGAAGCAACGCGAAGAACCUUACCAAGGCUUGACAUCCCCUUGACCAGUGCAGAGAUGUACUCUCUCCUUCGGGAGCAAGGGUGACAGGUGGUGCAUGGUUGUCGUCAGCUCGUGUCGUGAGAUGUUGGGUUAAGUCCCGCAACGAGCGCAACCCUUAUCAUUAGUUGCCAGCAGGUUAAGCUGGGCACUCUAAUGAGACUGCCGAUGAUAAAUCGGAGGAAGGUGGGGAUGACGUCAAAUCAUCAUGCCCCUUAUGUCUUGGGCUACACACGUGCUACAAUGGUCGGUACAACGGGCAGCGAAAGAGUGAUCUGGAGCAAAUCCCAAUAAACCGAUCUCAGUUCGGAUUGUAGGCUGCAACUCGCCUACAUGAAGUCGGAGUUGCUAGUAAUCGCGAAUCAGAACGUCGCGGUGAAUGCGUUCCCGGGUCUUGUACACACCGCCCGUCACACCAUGGAAGUUGGUAAUACCCGAAGUCGCUGAGCUAACCGCAAGGAGGCAGGCGCCGAAGGUAGGAUCAAUGACUGGGGUGAAGUCGUAACAAGGUAACCA
rnacentral:rRNA from 1 species